rnacentral:rRNA from 1 species
CGGGUGAGUAACACGUAUCCAACCUGCCGAUGACUCGGGGAUAGCCUUUCGAAAGAAAGAUUAAUACCCGAUGGCAUAGUUCUUCCGCAUGGUAGAACUAUUAAAGAACUUCGGUCAUCGAUGGGGAUGCGUUCCAUUAGGUUGUUGGCGGGGUAACGGCCCACCAAGCCUUCGAUGGAUAGGGGUUCUGAGAGGAAGGCCCCCCACAUUGGAACUGAGACACGGUCCAAACUCCUACGGGAGGCAGCAGUGAGGAAUAUUGGUCAAUGGACGAGAGUCUGAACCAGCCAAGUAGCGUGAAGGAUGACUGCCCUAUGGGUUGUAAACUUCUUUUAUACGGGAAUAAAGUGAGGCACGUGUGCCUUUUUGUAUGUACCGUAUGAAUAAGGAUCGGCUAACUCCGUGCCAGCAGCCGCGGUAAUACGGAGGAUCCGAGCGUUAUCCGGAUUUAUUGGGUUUAAAGGGAGCGUAGGCGGACGCUUAAGUCAGUUGUGAAAGUUUGCGGCUCAACCGUAAAAUUGCAGUUGAUACUGGGUGUCUUGAGUACAGUAGAGGCA